rnacentral:rRNA from 1 species
UGAAUCCUGGUAGCCAAGUGAGCGGAUCCCAUCAGAACUCCGAAGUUAAGCGUGCUUGGGCGAGAGCAGUACUAGGAUGGGUGACCCCCUGGGAAGUCCUGCCGCUCACUU